AGCCGUUUCCUUGUGAGGACGGAGGUCGACAGGCUACAGACAGCAGAGGAGAGUACUGCCAUGCUAAAGACCACAGCAGCAGAGCUGGAGUCAGAUUACCACUGGGCACUCUAAGCAGAUCUGAGUGGGAAGCAACUAGUAUCUACCUGGUGUUUGUGUUCCAGAAGAUGUGUUGAUCCUGAAAACAAAGUCUUAUUGUUUGACUCGUGAAAUUACCUGCUGCUCAUCAGCUCACCUGUUCUCCAUCUUGUGUGCGUACAGUGUUUACCUGUUUUCUUUUGAAAUCAGUUUUUGAUAAAGUAUGAACUGUUUAAGUUUGUUGAAAUGAAUAAAAACUAAAUUUAAAGUAA